CCUAAGUACACGCAAUACAUACGCACCUAGAAUGCUCUAUAGUUCCACUAUUUGAAUUUAAAAGCAUUCAAACGUCAAAACUGUUAUCAAACGGACAACCCAGUUAUGGAACAGCAUUCUGCAGCUAGGCUAUGUUCGGAGUUACCAAACGAGUACUGUAUUCAUAUUUCUUAUUUUAGGAUAUCCAUGACAAAACUGAGCAAGAGAAGAAAAAGAGCGCUGAAAAUCAUCUGGAGGUACAAUCAAGUUAUGAAAACAUCGAGUCGUCUAAAGAUGAAUCCAAACCAAAACAGCUAACAAUUGCCGUGGAAAAAGACGGUAGUUUAUGUUCUAGUCCGUCUACUACCAGCGUGAAAAAAAACUUGUGUAAAGUGGACCCUAACACUGUAGAAAUUUUUGAUCAAUCGAAUUCCGAAAAAUACAUGACAACUAGUCAAGAUGUGGAUACCAUCGUUAUAAAAGCUGCUGAGCAUGAAACUUUAGAUCAUUCAAGCGAGAAGCCAUGAACCGAGCCUAGCAAGCAAAAACAGAACAUUUCUUCGUUCCACUCUACACUCAAUAGUUUAUGAUAAAUAGUGUAUAAUAAACAAUAAAUAUUAUCAUUGGACAUUAA